CGGGAACGUAUUCACCGCAGCCGUUGCUGAUCUGCGAUUACUAGCGACUCCGACUUCAUGGGGUCGAGUUGCAGACCCCAAUCCGAACUGAGACUGGCUUUUUGGGAUUCGCUCCACCUUGCGGUAUCGCAGCCCUUUGUACCAGCCAUUGUAGCAUGCGUGAAGCCCUGGACUUAAGGGGCAUGAUGACUUGACGUCAUCCCCACCUUCCUCCGAGUUGACCCCGGCGGUCUCCUAUGAGUCCCCGGCAUUAUCCGCUGGCAACAUAGGACGAGGGUUGCGCUCGUUGCGGGACUUAACCCAACAUCUCACGACACGAGCUGACGACAGCCAUGCACCACCUGUAUACCGACCUUUGCGGGGGCUGCAUCUCUGCAGCUUUCCGGCAUAUGUCAAACCC
rnacentral:rRNA from 1 species